rnacentral:tRNA from 1 species
ACAGAGGUUGGCCUAGAGGUUAAGGUGCUGGCUUAGAAAUCAAGACACCAAGAGUUCUAAUCUCUUCUUGGGUA